UUUAACAAAACAUGUCCUUUUGUGUAUAAUUUAAGGUCGGACCUGCCCCCUGAUUAGAUUUAAAGGGCCGCGGUAUUUUGACCGUGCAAAGGUAGCAUAAUCAUUAGUCUUUUAAUUGAAGGCUGGAAUGAAUGGUUUGACGAAAUAUUAUCUGUCUCUUUAUAAUUAAUGUAAUUUAACUUUUAAGUCAAAAGGCUUAAAUAAAUAUAAAAGACGAGAAGACCCUAUAGAUCUUUAUAUGUGUAUAAUAUUUGUUUUUUUUAGUUUAAUUGUUAACAAAUAUUUUAUUAUAUUUUGUUGGGGUGACAUAAAGAUAUAAAUAACUCUUUAUAAUUUAUACAUUGAUGUAUGGUUAAAUGAUCCGUUAUUAGCGAUUGAAAGAUAAAGUUACCUUAGGGAUAACAGCGUAAUUUUUUUUGAGAGUUCUUAUCGACAAAAAAGAUUGCGACCUCGA
rnacentral:rRNA from 1 species